GCCGGCAUAGCUCAGUUGGUAGAGCAACCGCCUUGUAAGCGGUAGGUCGCGAGUUCGAGUCCCGCUGCCGGCACCA
rnacentral:tRNA from 5 species